rnacentral:rRNA from 1 species
GAUGAACGCUGGCGGCGUGCCUAAUACAUGCAAGUCGAGCGAACAGACGAGGAGCUUGCUCCUCUGACGUUAGCGGCGGACGGGUGAGUAACACGUGGAUAACCUACCUAUAAGACUGGGAUAACUUCGGGAAACCGGAGCUAAUACCGGAUAAUAUAUUGAACCGCAUGGUUCAAUAGUGAAAGACGGUUUUGCUGUCACUUAUAGAUGGAUCCGCGCCGCAUUAGCUAGUUGGUAAGGUAACGGCUUACCAAGGCGACGAUGCGUAGCCGACCUGAGAGGGUGAUCAGCCACACUGGAACUGAGACACGGUCCAGACUCCUACGGGAGGCAGCAGUAGGGAAUCUUCCGCAAUGGGCGAAAGCUUGACGGAGCAACGCCGCGUGAGUGAUGAAGGUCUUCGGAUCGUAAAACUCUGUUAUUAGGGAAGAACAAAAGUGUAAGUAACUAUGCACGUCUUGACGGUACCUAAUCAGAAAGCCACGGCUAACUACGUG